rnacentral:rRNA from 1 species
UACGUAGGGGGGCUAGCGUUGUCCGGAAUCAUUGGGCGUAAAGAGCGUGUAGGCGGCCCGGUAAGUCCGCUGUGAAAGUCGGGGGGCUCAACCCUCGGAUGCCGGUGGAUACUGUCGGGCUCGAGUACGGAAGAGGCGAGUGGAAUUCCUGGUGUAGCGGUGAAAUGCGCAGAUAUCGGGAAGAACACCCGUGGCGAAGGCGGCUGCUCUGGGACGGUACUGACGCUGAGACGCGAAAGCGUGGGGAGCGAACAGG